CGUGUAGGCAGACUCGCAAGUCGGUUGUGAAAUCCCUGGGCUUAACCUAGGAACUGCAUCCGAAACUGCUUGCCUUGAGUAAUGGAGAGGGUGGCGGAAUUCCCGGUGUAGAGGUGAAAUUCGUAGAUAUCGGGAGGAACAUCAGUGGCGAAGGCGGCCACCUGGACAUUUACUGACGCUGAGACGCGAAAGCGUGGGGAGCGAACAGGAUUAGAUACCCUGGUAGUCC
rnacentral:rRNA from 1 species